rnacentral:rRNA from 1 species
GACGAACGCUGGCGGCGUGCUUAACACAUGCAAGUCGAACGGAAAGGCCCUGCUUUUGUGGGGUGCUCGAGUGGCGAACGGGUGAGUAACACGUGAGUAACCUGCCCUUGACUUUGGGAUAACUUCAGGAAACUGGGGCUAAUACCGGAUAGGAGCUCCUGCUGCAUGGUGGGGGUUGGAAAGUUUCGGCGGUUGGGGAUGGACUCGCGGCUUAUCAGCUUGUUGGUGGGGUAGUGGCUUACCAAGGCUUUGACGGGUAGCCGGCCUGAGAGGGUGACCGGCCACAUUGGGACGGGGAAGCGGCCCAGACUCCUACGGGGGGCAGGGGGGGGGAAUAUUGCACAAUGGGCGGAAGCCUGAUGCAGCAACGCCGGGUGGGGGAUGACGGCCUUCGGGUUGUAAACCGCUUUCGCCUGUGACGAAGCGUGGGGGCGGGAAAUGGGUAAAGAAGCACCGGCAAACUACGG